UAAAGCACACCAGGUCAGUUUGAAUUUUAGAAGAGAACAGAUAAUUUUUUAAGUGUAAAUCUAUCCCAUACACAGCACGCAUAUGGACGGGACUAAACAAAGGUCUUUGUUAUUUAUCUGGAACACAAGUUUAACCGGGAGUCCCGCUUAAAUAAAAUUCAGUUUAUUGCCGAAUCUGGCGAGCUUAGGGAGUGUAGAAGGCAUCGGAAGGCACACGCGGCAGGAGUCAAUGUUACUUCACAUCCUUCAGUGGGCACGAGCUGGGCCACACCGGAAAUGCUUUUCUCACUGUCGAUUUGAGUGAACAAGGGCAGGCCGCAGUCCCGGGCGGCUGUGGGUGUUCGACGCCGGAGACCAGCGCGGUGUCUAACAGUGCUGUCGGGCGACAGGGGCACCCUGGGGGGCCUUGGUCACCAUCGUCGUUCCAUUCUCUGCCUUUCUGUGUGUGUGUGAGAGAGGAUUUUUCUUGAAAGAACUCCGAGCCUCCAAAUGUUUAUUGAAAUAUUACUCCGAAAACUUCCCCUGUUGCUGAGAGUCUCGCUCUCUCCUGAGGGCAGGACCCGGGUUCCUCUCUCUGGGCGUCACCUGGAGGACCACGGGCCAAAUGCCCACGGACAGUUCCCCCCGUGGACGCUAGGUGGCGACAGCAGCUGUGCUCGCUGAGGAAGCAUGCUUAGAGCUAACCGGGUGGCCUGUGGGGUGGGCACGCCUGCCUAUGAUGGUCUCCUUUAUCCCUCCCAGCAACCCCAGGCUCUGUCCUCUUCUCAGGGGGUGAAAAAGCCCCGAGGUGUCUGGGACAGGCCCAGCCGAGCCAGCCAGGUGUGGCUCCAGGUCAAUCAGCCACUGGGGAGCGCAGCUGAGGCCGCACUUGUCAGAAGUGAGCAGGGUUAGAUCGGAUCCCAAGGGCUGCGGACAGUGACAAGUAGCUGGGAGGAGGUUCCCAGGACCCGAGGACCCUCCCGUGGGCAGCCGCUGGCUCCCGGCCCUGUCCCUUCUUCCUCCAGGUGACCGUGCUCCACUUCCUCCUGCCCUGCCCGCUCCUGUCCCCGCCCUGUGCUGCCCUCUCCUGCCAUUACCUGGCCACCGCAGGUAGCAGGGCCAGAGGAGUGACUUUUCCAAUGGAAAUAUGACCCUUCACAGGCUAGCAAGAAAAUCAACGCAGCCGCCUCGAUGUAAGACCUUCUAAGUUGACCGUCACCUUUCGUCUAUUGAAAAUGUCACCUGGGGAACCUGGGCUCAGACUCACCCAGCUGCCGCCUUCGGAAAGGGACGCUGGCCGGAGAGGAGGAAGAGCGUUCCAGAUGCCACCGCAGGGUCCUCACCAGUGGAAGAGGGAGGCUGAGUACAGGUCGGAGUGGACGGGCGCCAGGCCUGUUUCUGGGUCCGAAGGCCAGAGGCGGGGGCCGCGAGCCAAGGAGUACAGACGCGUCUUGAUGGCAGGGAAGCAGGAAGGGGACUGUCCCCUAGAGCCAGCAGGAGCGCAGCCCGGCGAGCGUGCCAGGCCUCUGACGCCACAGGGUAAUAAACGCGUGUGGUGUAGGCCACUAAGUUUGUGGUCCUUGGUUACAGCAGUGACAGGAAGCUCACGGCACGCGUGGGGUCCAGGUAGAAGACCGUGAGUGCAUCGCGGGGCGCCCUGGGCGGUGCGUGAGCGUUGCAGGCUGGGCGAGGGCGGAUCUAAGUGUCGGCGUCAGUAACCACAGCUGGAAAGCGCGGAUGCGCAUCCGGGAGCCGACGCCACUCAAGAGCUCGGCGGUGUUGCCGGGGCCACCGACCGGCGGACGCCUCUGGGAAGCCUCCCCCUUCAGCCUCUCCUGCUGUGAAAUGGGGUCCCACGCGGACAAGUGACAGGCUCGUGGAGCUUUCGGAACCACAGUGGUGACAACGCCAUCGCCCGUGAGGACGAGACCAGAGCUAAGAGUCGAAAGCGAGACUCGAACCGAUGUGCGCUCACCACACGGUCAUGGCAGCACUGGUCACAGCAGCUAAAUGAAGGGUGGCAGCAACCCAGGGGUCCAUCAGCGGAUGACGGGUAAAGGAGGUGCGGUCCAUCCACAUAAUGGAAUACUGCUCGGCCUUGAACAAGGGAGGACGCUCUGGCACCGGCUGCAACAUAAACGAACGUCGAGGGCGUCACGCUGUGUAAGGUCACAGAAGGACACACUCUGUACGUGGUACCUGCAGUCGCCAGGGGCAGAGAGGCCGACAGUGUAAUGGUGGCGCCCGGGGCCGGGGGAGGGGCAGGGAGCUCGUCUUUGAUGGGGACACAGUUUUAGUUUUGCAAGAUGGAAAAAGUUCUAGAGAUGACGGUGGUGACAGUUGGACAACAGUGACUGUUCCUGCUGCCACUGAACUGUGCACGUAAAAACGGCCACGAUGGUCAAUUCUGCGUUGUGUAUAUUUUAUAAUUAAAGGAAAAUAGAAAGAAA